GUAUCGAUUUAUCGAAUAGGCUGUGUUCUUUGUGAACCAGAAGGCUUGAUCCUUUGGGAUUAAGAGAGGUUUAUCCUCAAAUUAUCUAUCAACCCUUGAUAUUAUACUUUGGUACAUCAAAAUUGGUAUCAGCCAGUUACGUUUCUGAUUACCGAAGUAAUGAGCGGGGGAGGAGAUACGAUUACUACAAUAGAUGAAGCUGCAACUCAGUUGCAGGCUCAUUCAGAUAGAUUACAGACUUGGAAGAAUCGGUUGAGAACCUCACUUCUGAAUUCUGUUCUCUCUCUGCUGAGAUGAUUCCUGCUAAGGAAUCCAUAUCCACUAUCGCAUUGCUAUGUCAACGAUUUGGUAUUCCAAAAAAUUCAAUUCCUAUUCCUGAAGCAUCAUCAGAUCAGGAAUCUAACGCUAUUGGUGGUGAAUUUGUUCACAAAUCAGAGAAGAAGUUGGAGUCAGUCCUUGGUGUUAUAGAAUCUAAGGAGAUUGAGGAAGAACUUCUGAUUGAAGAAGUAGAAAUUGAUUCAUUCAGCCGAGACUCUUCAAUUACAUCUGAAGCAACAUCAGAUGAAUUUGUCGAUGAAUUAUUUGUUUCUUCAUUUUUAAUCGCUGAAGACAAGGAUGAUUCUCAGAUUACCGAAAUCGCCAAAGAUGAAGUGAAUGAUGUCGACAGCGAGAACCAUGUACAAAUGAAGGAAGUUAUUUAUGAGAACCUUGAAAGCUUAAGGGUGUUACUCGUGAUCCACAUCGAGUUGAAUUGUAAGGAUUUCUUUACUCUUCUUUUUGAUUUUACUCGUUCAUUAUUCGAUCGAGGAAAGAAGAUUGAUGUCAGUUUAGGGGAUUCUGCUUUUGUUAAAUGUUAUUCUGAAUUUGGGUGUAAAUUUGAUCUGUGCUUGAAAUUGUUACACGGGUACUAUAGGGAACUUAUUCAAGAAUUGAUUCAUAAACAUGGGUACUGUUCAGAUUUAGGGUAUAAUGGUGUUUCUAGUACUGCUUGGAAGCUGCUUGGUAAAAUGUUUCAAAUAGAUAUUGUGUAUCUCAAGAACAAAAGCGUUUUUAAUCACCAAAUUCCUAGUGAGAAAUCCUUAUUUGAUGGAAGACUAUUUGAUCCUGGAAACAAAAUUGGAUCCAUUAAUGUAUACUAUUAUUUUACAGGUGAUUAUGAGUUCAGUCUGGGUUUAACUGAUUCUUGUUUGUUUUUCCUACAUAUUUGUUCAAUUUUAAGGAAUGCAAACAAUGGGAAUUUCAUUUAUAAGAUAUUUUUUAGACAUAUGUUUCGAUUACAUACAUUUAUAUGAAGUAUAUCUUAUUCGUGUUCACAACUGGUGGUAUUGGUGAUGUUUUUCCGCGGUGUCUUCAAAUGGUUAGGAUGUGGAGAAAAGUAUUUUUUCUUUUGCAGCUGAAGUUUGAUUCGCUUCAUGAGAUUUCAGUUCAAUUUCUUGAAUCAUUGGUUGUUCUUAGGACUCAUAUAGAGUGUUUGGAAUGUUCCCCUGAGUUCAUUAUGUUCAUACUUCACAAGAGAUUCUUGUAUUUGCAACUUGGUAUUCACUCUCCUCUUUUGCUAAUAUUUCAUACAGAUCAUUAUUAUUGGUCUGACCAGAUUGCUAGAACUUAUGCAAUUGCUAUACAGUUAUCUUUGCAAAUGAUUCAUGUUGUCAGUUCAGCUAGUGAUCGUUCUUAUGUGCAUUGGAUUUUUCUAUUGUUUCUUCGUUUUGGAUACCACUCAGAUUUUUCAGCUACACCAUUCAUUAUGCUUUUCUGUGUUAUUGGUACUGAAUUUGUUAGUGAGAGGAUACUGACUGUUAGAAUGGCUGCAAGAAUUGGAAAUUUGAGUCAAUUGGCGGAGAGUUUCGUGUGGAGAUUGCACAGUGGUGACUCUACAACACUCAUACUUUCUAUAUUAUGGGAGUUGCGUGCAAGGGAAAAAUAGCACAAGCAGUGGUUGCCAAAACCUAUAAAAGUUAACCUGUUUGUUUGUACUAAUGCUCAUCUCCAGCUAAAUUUACUUACAUCUGAGGCCUGUGAGAGAUUUUCGAUUAGUGAAGGCGUUGCAUAUUAUUUGGAGAAGCAUUGCAACACAAGAUAUCAGAGUAGAGAGUUUCCUUCCUACACAAUCGACUUCACCAAGUUUCUACCACAGAUGCAUCUUACACGCUCGUCAUUUCCGGCCACAAGUUUUACUCCAUGUCAGUUUCGGGUGGCUAUAAGUGGAGUGGAAAAGCUACACCAGUCAAUCUCACCUAAGUUAAACGCCGAUAUAAAUGGGGAUAUUGGUAUGAGUACUUAUCCAGCUGGAGGUGUUGAUGAUUAUACAACUGCAAUUACCAUGGACAACACAGCACAACCAGGUUCAGGUCAAGGGUGGACUUUACAGAAGAUAACUACUUCCAUGUGGCCAUUUUCCUUUUCCAUUUCUUUUGCAGAAAAUGGACCUGUCCUCGCGGCUAGUUUUCUCAACUUGUACCUGCAUAAAAGAAGAGGGUGCCCUGGAAAAUCAGUUCACAUCCUUGAGGACAAGGAUGUUUCCAAGGAGUGGGGAUUGUCAUGUACCUGCAUAAGAGAAGAGGGUGCCCCUUAUCAUAAUCCUGGUGGUAGUUAGUAUUUAAUAUUAAUUGUUGAUUAUUAGUUUAGUUAGAGUUAAUCAAUAGUUAAUGAUUAAUUAUAAUAGAUGGUUGAGAUGUAACCAUCUGUGGGGCUUAGUGAUCGUUAGAUCUAACUAGGAAAACCUAGUUAUAAAGAGUGUGAGUAUGUAAUGAAAACCUCAAGAAAAUUAUAAUCAAAGUAUCGAUUAGGCUGUGUUAUUUGUGAA